UGUACUGUGAGAAUUGAAUUCUAAUAGUCUAACUUUUGAAUGAAAGGCCACCAUCUUUGGAUGUGAUAAAUUUUCCCUCAACGUCAUCUUUGACUUUCACAGGAAAAGAAUAUUUGCAAGGUUCUGAAGUUCGACAUUCACAGUCAUCCCUAAUGACCAAAAAAUCUGCUAACUCUUCUGAUUUUCCAAGACCUCGUUCUUUUACAAGGACUGAUGUUUUUAACUCAUCUUGGUAAGUUCUAUUUUGUGUCUUCUUAAGAAUUCUUCCAUAGCAAAAAGUUAGUUGCUCUAAUACACAAUAAAAAUAAUACCACAUUUUAUAAAAUUCCUAUCCUUGGCCUAAAAUGAGUUAAAUCAAGAAAUUGGUUUGCAUAUCAUCAUGUAUUAACCAAACAAUUUAUUAAUUUUUAGAUUCUCCUAGACCUCAAUCAUCAAGAAUGUCUGAUGUUCCUUUUAACCUUCCUGGUAA